rnacentral:rRNA from 1 species
CCCGUACCAGUGAAGAACCGCCCAUGCUGAGCCGGUGAUACUAACCGCCCGAACCAUCCCGAACCUCGUCUUUGACGGGGACGGUGGUGGGGAGCGCGGGACCUGAACCGGGGAGGCAAGCGCAUUAACAGGUGUGACGCAGGAAGGUAGCCGGGCCGGGCAAUGGAAAUGACCUGGUCUAAGGGUGUAGGGCUGCCGGUAGGUAAAUCCGCCGGCUGUAUGCCUGAGACCUGAUGGGCGCCCACAUGGUGGGUGAUCCGGUGAUCCUAUGCUGCCUAGAAAAGCAUCGGCGCGAGGUUCAAACUGCCCGUACCCUAAACCGACACAGGUGGUCAGGUAGAGAAUACUAAGGCGAUCGAGAGAAUCAUGGUUAAGGAACUCGGCAAAAUGCCCCCGUAACUUCGGGAGAAGGGGCCCCAACCUUGAGCACCACUCGCUGGUGUGAGGGGAUCGGGGCCGCAGAGACCAGGGGGAAGCGACUGUUUAUCAAAAACACAGGUCCAUGCGAAGUCGUAAGACGAUGUAUAUGGACUGACUCCUGCCCGGUGCUGGAAGGUUAAGGGGACCCGUUAGCUUCGGCGAAGCGGAGAACUUAAGCCCCAGUAAACGGCGGUGGUAACUAUAACCAUCCUAAGGUAGCGAAAUUCCUUGUCGGGUAAGUUCCGACCUGCACGAAUGGAGUAACGACUUC